CACACAUCGUUCGUUCAUUUUGAAUCGACACACUUCCAGGGUGUGUGCGACGAUAAAUAUGGCGAUUGCACGCAUGCAAGAGAUGACUCACUCCACUAUGGCUGUGCAAAGGUGUGUGAUGGAUGCCAGCAGUUUGUCCAUUUCACAAGUCCUGUGGUUGGAACGUCUUGGGUGUGGUAGAGGCCUACACCUUCACGGCUUGAACAUGGAUCCAUGUGGAAUUGGACUGUACAUCUGACCGUGGGGGAUGAAGAUCUAACCUGUGGAUGCCAUCUGAACUAAUCACAAGCAUCUGCCAUGGAAUCAUGUGAAGACCACAUCAUGAGGCUUGCAGACAAGCACACAUUUCUGCCAUGGAGUCCUAUGAAGACCACAUGAGGCUUGGAGACAUGAGGCCCAACUCUUAGAUGGAAACAGACCCCGGAAUUGGAAUGCUUCCUUGGGCCUGCUCCCUGGUGUCCUCAUGGUUUGGCUGAUGUGGGGCAGUGAAGCCUCUUUCCAGGCUCUUCAUCCAUAUCAUGCUGGUCUGAAAUUGUUGGUAGCAGUCCUGACCUGAUGCAACUGAAAGGUGCUAUAUAGGAAGCCAAAUCUAUGCUAAAGGAUGAGUCCUUGGCUGCUUUCCUGACCUGAUUCAACUGAAAGAGGUGCCGUAUAUGAAGACACAUCUUUGCUCAACGGCUGUUCAUGGUUAAAUACAAUUGUCAACCGCCUCCACCUCACCAGAGCAUCGAAGCUUCCUACUGCUAUAAAAAUGUCUGGGUUCUUCACCUACUGGUUGAUUGUUUAAGCAAGGUGUUUUCUUGUACUGCAACAUUUUCUAAAAUAAAUGUGUGACUUUUAACCUUG